rnacentral:rRNA from 1 species
AUUCCAGCUCCAAGAGCGUAUAUUAAAGUUGUUGCGGUUAAAAAGCUCGUAGUUGGAUUUCGGGUGGGCACCGCCGGUCUCCUUCGGGUUGUACUGGCGUGGCCUGCCUUGCUGUCGGGAACGGGUUGCUGGCUUUACUGUCGGCUUCCCGGGAUCGGCGACGUUACUUUGAGUAAAUUAGAGUGUUCAAAGCAAGCCUACGCUCUGAAUAUGAUAGCAUGGGAUAACACGACAGGACUCUGGCCUAUCGUGUUGGUCUGUAGGACCAGAGUAAUGAUUAAGAGGGACAGUCGGGGGCAUUUGUAUUCCGUUGUCAGAGGUGAAAUUCUUGGAUUUACGGAAGACAAACAUCUGCGAAAGCAUUUGCCAAGGAUGUUUUCAUUG